rnacentral:misc_RNA from 1 species
UACGAAGGGGGCUAGCGUUGUUCGGAAUUACUGGGCGUAAAGAGCGCGUAGGCGGAACGGGCAGUCAGGGGUGAAAUCCCGGGGCUCAACCUCGGAACUGCCUUUGAUACUCUCGUUCUAGAGACCGUGAGAGGAUAGUGGAAUACCCAGUGUAGAGGUGAAAUUCGUAGAUAUUGGGUAGAACACCAGUGGCGAAGGCGACUAUCUGGCGCGGGUCUGACGCUGAGGCGCGAAAGCGUGGGGAGCAAACAGG